rnacentral:rRNA from 2 species
GUGCGAGACCGAUAGCGAACAAGUACCGUGAGGGAAAGAUGAAAAGAACUUUGAAAAGAGAGUUAAAGAGUACCUGAAACUGCUGAAAGGGAACCGAAUCGUUUCCAGUGUCUAUAAUCCAUGGUAUAUUUCAUUGGUGUGUGAGUGCGUGCAGCGUUUUGGAAGUAGUUUUCUGCUCCUGUCGUUGUUGUGCAUUCGCCUGCUGGUGCCCUGUGCUGUGGUGGGACGUCAGAGUCAGUUCGUAUGUUGCGGGAAAUGGUUAUUGGGGAGGUAGGCCACUUCGGUGGCUGUUAUAUCCUGAUAACUAGUCGUCGUGGCUGGGACUGAGGUGCCUAC